rnacentral:piRNA from 1 species
UGUGGCUGGGGGGUGAUCUGGACAGGAA